AUCACUUCUGGGCCUUUCGACUAAGAUCAAGUGUAGUAUCUGUUCUUAUCAGUUUAAUAUCUGCCUCUGUGAAGGAUCUCCACAUACUGUCAUAUUCUGAGGUGCACUAU
rnacentral:snRNA from 1 species